rnacentral:rRNA from 1 species
UACGAAGGUGGCAAGCGUUGUUCGGAUUUACUGGGCGUAAAGCGUGCGUAGGCGGUUUGACAAGUCAGGAGUGAAAUCCCAGGGCUUAACCCUGGAAUUGCUUUUGAAACUGUUUUACUUGAGUCCCGGAGAGGUUGACGGAAUUCCCAGUGUAGAGGUGAAAUUCGCAGAUAUUGGGAGGAACACCAGUGGCGUAAGCGGUCAACUGGACGGGUACUGACGCUGAGGUACGAAAGCAUGGGUAGCAAACAGG